rnacentral:snRNA from 8 species
GUGCUUGCUUUGGCAGCACAUAUACUAAAAUUGGAUCGAUACAGAGAAGAUUAGCAUGGCCCCUGCGAAAGGAUGACACGC